GACGAACGCUGGCGGCGUGCCUAAUACAUGCAAGUCGAACGAACCGCGACUGAGUGCUUGCACUUGGUCAAGGUGAGUGGCGAACGGGUGAGUAACACGUGGGUAACCUACCUCAUAGUGGGGGAUAACAGUCGGAAACGACUGCUAAUACCGCAUAGGACAUGGAAUCACAUGAUUCCGUGAGGAAAGGUGGCGCAAGCUAUCGCUAAGAGAUGGACCCGCGGUGCAUUAGCUAGUUGGUAGGCCGUUACCCUACCAAGGCGAUGAUGCAUAGCCGACCUGAGAGGGUGAUCGGCCACAUUGGGACUGAGACACGGCCCAAACUCCUACGG
rnacentral:rRNA from 1 species